rnacentral:rRNA from 1 species
GAUGAACGCUGGCGGCGUGCCUAAUACAUGCCAGUCGAGCGAACGGACGAGGCUCUUGCUCCUCUGACGUUAGCGGCGGACGGGUGAGUCACACGAGGAUAACCUACCUAUAAGGAUGAGAUAACUUCGGGAAACCGGAUCUAACACCCGUUAAUAUAUUGAACCGCAUGGUUCAUUAGUGAAAGCCGGUUUUGCUGACCCUAAUAGAUGUAUGCGGGCCGCAUUGGCUAGUUGCUACGGUAACGGCUUCCCAUGACUGGUCUGGGUAGACGACCUGGGAGAGUGAUCGUCAACCCGGAACCUGGGCCCCGGUCCAGCCUCCUAGGGGAGGCAGCAGUGGGAAAUCUUCCGCAAUGGGCGAAAGCCUGACGGAGCAACGCCGCGUGAGUGAUGAAGGUCUUCGAUUCGUAAAACUCUGUUAUUAGGGAAGAACAAAUUUAUAAGUAACUAUGCUCGUCUGAACGGUACCUAAGCAGAAGGCCCCGGCUACCUACGU